GGAGGAGUGGCCGAGCGGCUUAAGGCAGCGGUCUUGAAAACCGUUGACCUCGUAAGGGGUCCGGAGGUUCGAAUCCUCUCUCCUCCGCUA
rnacentral:tRNA from 1 species